rnacentral:tRNA from 5 species
GGAGAGAUGGCUGAGUGGUCGAAAGCACCGGUCUUGAAAACCGGCAAGGGUUAAUAGCCCUUCUAGGGUUCAAAUCCCUAUCUCUCCGCCA